rnacentral:rRNA from 1 species
CCUACGGGUGGGCAGCAGUGAGGAAUAUUGGUCAAUGGGCGCGAGCCUGAACCAGCCAAGUAGCGUGAAGGAUGACUGCCCUCCGGGUUGUAAACUUCUUUUCUAAAGGCAUAAAGUCAGGCACGUUUGCCUUUUUGUAUGUAUUUUCUGAAUAAGGCUCGGCUAACUCCGUGCCAGCAGCCGCGUUAAUCCGGAGGAUGCGAGCGUUAUCCGGAUUUAUUGGGUUUAAAGGGUGCGUAGGCGGGCUUUUAAGUCAGCGGUAAAAAUUCGGGGCUCAACCCCGUCCGGCCGUUGAAACUGGGGGCCUUGAGUGGGCGAGAAGAAGGCGGAAUGCGUGGUGUAGCGGUGAAAUGCAUAGAUAUCACGAAGAACCCCGAUUGCGAAGGCAGCUUACUAAACUGUGACUGACAUUGAUGCUCGAAAGUGUGGGUAUCAAACAGGAUUAGAUACCCGGGUAGUC